CGAGUCGGCCGGGUGAUCGCGGUGCAACAGCGCCGAGGAAAGUCCGGACUCCACAGGACAAGGUGGUGGGUAACGCCCACCCGGGGUGACCCGCGGGAAAGUGCCACAGAGAACAGACCGCCCGAGUACCGGCCCACCCGGGCAGAGGUUUGGGUAAGGGUGAAACGGCGUGUGUAAGAGACCACCGCGCGGCCGGUGACGGUCGCGGCACGGCAAACCCCACCUGGAGCAAGACCAGAAGGACGCCCUCCGGGCGUCUGCGGAAGCGAUUGAGGGUGGUCCGCCCGAGCUUCCGGGUAGGUCGCACGCCGGACGCGGAAGCGUCCGGGGAAGGCCGCCGGAAACGGUGGUCGCAGAUGGAUGAUCACCGGCUCCGCGAGGAGUUACAGGAUCCGGCUUACAGGCCGACUCGUCCG
rnacentral:RNase_P_RNA from 1 species